ACUAAGGGCAAACGGUGGAUGCCUUGGGACUUCGAGGCGAUGAAGGACGUGGAAAGCUGCGAUAAGCGACGGUGAGAAGCACUCAUUCUAUGAACCGUCGAUUUCCGAAUGGGGGAACCCAAUAACUCCCGCCUGAAUAUAUAGGGCGGGUAGAGCAAACUCAGGGAAGUGAACCAUCUCAGUACCUGAAGGAAAAGAAAACAAAAGUGAUUCUGCUAGUAGCGGCGAGCGAACGCGGAACAGCCUAAACCGAUUGGGCUUGCUCAGUCGGGGUCGUGGGAUCAGACAUAAUGGGAGAAGAAGAUUAACAAAAGUGUAUGGAAAAGCACACCAUAGAGCGUGAUAGUCGCGUAUGUGAAAAUUUUCAACUUCUAGUUUGACACCCGAGUAAUGCGGAACACGAGGAAUUCUGCAUGAAUUUGCCGGGACCAUCCGGUAAGGCUAAAUACUCCGAAGUCACCGAUAGUGAACCAGUACCGUGAGGGAAAGGUGAAAAGAACCCCAGUGAGGGGAGUGAAAUAGUACCUGAAACCGUUUGCUUACAAGCAGUAGGAGGUUCGCAAGGACUGACUAUGUGCCUUUUGCAUAAUGAGCCGGCUAGUAAAUGUCACAGGCAAGGUUAAACGAUAAGUAAGCCGAAGCGAAAGCGAGUCUUAAUAGGGCGCUUAGUCUGUGGUAUUUGGACGUGAAACGGGAUGAUCUAGGCAUGGGCAGGUUGAAGCGUGGGUAACACUACGUGGAGGACCGAACCAGUAUAGGUUGAAAACUGUUUGGAUGACCUGUGCCUAGGGGUGAAAGGCUAAUCAAAUUCCGUGAUAGCUCGUUCUCGCCGAAAUAGCUUUAGGGCUAGCCUCGGAUUUAUCUUUGCGGUGGUAAAGCACUGAAUGGACUAGGGGCCNNAGAGGGAAAGAGCCCAGACCAACAGCUAAGGUCCCAAAAUUAUAGUUAAGUGGAAAAGGACGUGGGGAAGCACUGACAGCCAGGAGGUUUGCUUAGAAGCAGCAAUCCUUUAAAGAAAGCGUAAUAGCUCACUGGUCAAGUAGCCCUGCACCGACAAUAUAACGGGGCUCAAACUAUAUACCGAAGCUUUGGAUAUUUUUAAUAUGGUAGGCGAGCAUUCUGUAGCUGUGAAGCGGUUCCGUAAGGUCCGUUGGAGCAAUCAGAAAAGACUUUGUCGGCAUUAGUAGCGAUAACGUAUGUGAGAACCAUACGCACCGAAAACCUAAGGUUUCCUUCGUCAAGUUAAUCUGCGAAGGGUUAGUCUGUACCUAAGGCGAGGGCGAGAGCCGUAGUCGAUGGAAAUCCGGUUAAUAUUCCGGAACUGAGUAACAGUGCUGUGGAGUGACGCAAUAGGGUAGGCAAGACGGCUGAUGGAUGCCGUUGAACUAAAUAGCCCGCCGCUUAGGUAAAUCCGGGCGGCACAAGGGUAAAUACAGGAACGAAAGUACGAAGCUUGCUUCGGAACAAGUUGCUGACCCCAAUUGCCAAGAAAAGCUUCGUUCAGCAUAACUGUUAAUCAACAGUACCGCAAACCGACACAGGUAGGUGGGAUGAGAAUUCUAAGGUGCUUGUGAGAACCCUCGUUCAGGAACUCGGCAAAAUAUAUCCGUAACUUCGGGAGAAGGAUAGCCGUGUUCACCAAGAACACGGUCGCAGAGAAAUGUUCCAGGCGACUGUUUAACAAAAACACAGGUCUCCGCAAAGUUGUAAAGACAACGUAUGGGGGCUGACGCCUGCCCAAUGCUGGAAGGUUAAGAGGACUUGUUAGCCGCAAGGCGAAGCUCGGAAUCGAAGCCCCAGUGAAUGGCGGCCGUAACAAUAACGGUCCUAAGGUAGCGAAAUUCCUUGUCGGGU
rnacentral:rRNA from 1 species